rnacentral:rRNA from 1 species
AUUGAACGCUGGCGGCAGGCCUAACACAUGCAAGUCGAACGAGUGGCGGACGGGUGAGUAAUUUCUGGGAAACUGCCUGAUGGAGGGGGAUAACUACUGGACACGGUCUCUAAUACCGCAUACAAUAAGAUGUGCCCAGAUGGGAAUAGCUUGUUGGUGGGGUAACGGCUCACCAAGGCGACGAUCCCUAGCUGGUCUGAGAGGAUGACCGGCAAAACUGGAACUGAGACAAGGUCCAGACUCCUACGGGAGGCAGCAGUGGGUAAUAUUGCACAAUGGGCGCAAGCCUGAGGCAGCCAUGCCGCGUGUAUGAAGAAGGCCUUCGGGUUGUAAAGUACUUUCAGCGGGGAGGCGUUACCCGCAGAAGAAGCACCGGCUAACUCCGUGCCAGCCGCCGCGGUAAUUC